rnacentral:lncRNA from 1 species
AGCUUUUGCUGAUUCAAGUCCAAAUGAAGGUCCUUAUCAAAGUCAGCUAACUAUGGAAUUCUCCGAGCCUGAAAUGUGAGGAAAUGAGGGUGGUGAGAUUAUAAAAUCCCAGUGAGUAAACAGACACCAUCUAAACUAUCUAAAGGCGAGUAAAUGGAGACGAAUUAAAAUAAGUCAUCAUAUUGUAAUUUCAUUACCUUUCAACUCAUUUCAACCAAAUAAACAACUAGGCUUAUGAUUUCCUGAAAAGCUUGGCUCGUGCCAAAAAUCAUUCUCAUACUCAAUUAUCAAGGAUACCUUGAUCGAGGGUUAUCCCAACCAAGUUCGCCAAGGCUAUUAAAUAUCUUUACAUCCGAAAUUUUAGCCAUGCCUUGACGUUGGCUGAGUUUCACUCUCACGCGAUGGUCCACGUGAAGUGCACUCAAAUCUUUACCUCAGGAGAUACUUCAUCUAACAUCUCCCCUCGGAGGUAAAUAUAUAAUUAGGUUACUGUGCCCCUCUCAUAGGUAGUCCACGGAAACCCCCACCACUGCAGUGACUAUGGAUUAUUUUAUCUACCACCUGAUUUAUAAAAUCUUUUUCUGCAUGACAUGGUAAUUUAUCACAACCUAGCCUCUCAAGGCUGAAUACAUAGUACAAAUAAUUCUAACACCAAAAAUCAGUUUAGCCAUUCAUGCACAUAUAUUGUCAUAAGCCAUUCAAUUUAAAACCAUAAAUUUACAACACAAGCAGACAGUCUUCAGUUACUCUAUUUUCAAAACCAGUAUUCAAUUUUCCAGAAAAUUUAUAAAAUCAUUUUAUAAAAUCACAAUUUCUCCUAAAACAUAGCAAUUUACCAUUUAAACCCAUUUUCCAUAAAAUCACACAAUUGUAUAAAACUACUCUAGAUAAUUAAGAUGAUAAUAAGUUUACUCACAGUUCUAGGAGUCGAUGUACUCCUAAUCCAAGUCUCCAAGCACAAUUUUUGUACUUUUACCAGUGUAAUUUACUCACCACCUAUCUACAAUGUACAAUACAUAAUUCACCACAUCAAUGCUUGACCAUUAUAAAAUCAAUUCAGGCUAGGUGUAUAUGCAUGAUAUGAUAUGCAACUUAUCCGACUACCGCUUAAAUGCGGUGUUGACCUAAUUCGGCCUAUUACCCUAUUAAAUGACAAUUGUGUCCGAUUUGGCUCCAAAUUACUCCAUUUCAUUUCUAAUAUUUUAAUUCACUAAAUACAAUUCUAGUAAUCUAAAAUUCAGCCUAACAACCCUCACAAUUCUUCUUGAAAAUUUUUGCCAUUGCGGUGCACUAUCAUUAAAAAUUUUCCCAUUCCAUUUUCUCACCAUAAAUCAUCAUUUCAUUAAUUUUUCAACCAAUUCACUUGAUCAAAAAAUCAAUUCAUUACUUCUACACUUCACAUAAGGUUUGACCAUUGAAGGUUCAUGGGAAAAAUGGAUUCUUUUCUUGUUGUUUUGUUUCUAAACAUGCUUAACUAACUAAAAACACUAACAUAACUUAGAAUCAAAUAAAUCUAACAUCAUUCUCUCUCCAUACCCAUUCCAACCAGCCAUGAAUUCAUCAUGAAAACAUGUAAUUUAACCAUGAAAAAUGAGGAGAAAUGCAUAGGAAAGGUAGAUCACAAGUCAAAAUCAAGAAAUUUUACCUUUAGUCACUUGUUUUCUUGAAUUUUCACUAAUUUUCCCUUGAAUUUCUCCACCUAGGGUUUUUGUUUUUCUUUUCUCCCUUUGUUCUUCUUUGCUCUUGGUUUGGCCGGCCAUAUGAAAGAAAUGGGCUGAUUUUUAUGCCUUUUUAUAAAGAAA